CCUACGGGAGGCAGCAGUGGGGGAUAUUGGACAAUGGGGGGAACCCUGAUCCAGCGACGCCGCGUGAGUGAAGAAGUAUUUCGGUAUGUAAAGCUCUGUCAGCAGGGAGGAAAGCAAUGACGGUACCUGACCAAGAAGCCCCGGCUAACUACGUGCCAGCAGCCGCGGUAAUACGUAGGGGGCAAGCGGUAUCCGGAAUUACUGGGUGUAAAGGGAGCGUAGGCGGUUUAGCAAGUCAGAAGAGAAAGCCCGGGGCUAAACUCCGGGACUGCAUUUGAAACUGUUGAACUAGAUUGCAGGAGAGGUAAGUGGAAUUCCUAGUGUAGCGGUGAAAUGCGUAGAUAUUAGGAGGAACACCAGUGGCGAAGGCGGCUUACUGGACUGUAAAUGACGCUGAGGCUCGAAAGCGUGGGGAGCAAACAGGAGUAGAUACCCGAGUAGUC
rnacentral:rRNA from 1 species